rnacentral:rRNA from 1 species
GACGAACGCUGGCGGCGUGCUUAACACAUGCAAGUCGAACGGAAAGGCCCUGCUCUUGUGGGAUGCUCGAGUGGCGAACGCGUGAGUAACACGUGAGUAACCUGCCCUUGACUUUGGGAUAACUUCAGGAAACUCGGGCUCUUACCGGAUAUAAGCUCCUUCUGCAUGGUGGUUAUUUGAGAGUUUCGCCGGUUGGGGAUGGAGGCGGGGUGUAUCAGCUUGUUGGUGGGGUAGUGGCUUACCAAGGCUUUGACGGGUAGCCGGCCUGGGAGGGUGACCGGCCACAUUGGGACUGAGAAAGGGCCCAGAGUCCUACGGGGGGCAGCGGCGGGGAAUAGUGCAAAAUGGGCGGAAGCCUGAUGCAGCAAUGCCGCGUGCGAGAAGACGGCCUGCGGGUUGUAAACCGCUUUCGCCUGUGACGAAGCGCGAGUGACGGUAAUGGGUAAGAAAGCACCGGCUAACUACGUG